GAGCUUGUAGGUGACACCAAGCUGAGUGGUGCAGGACACACCUGAAGGGUGGGAUGCCAUCCAGAGGGAUCUGGACAAGCUCGAGAAGUGGACCCAUGGGAACCUUGUGAAGUUCAACAAGGCCAAGUGCAAGGUCCUCUGCCUGGGUCAGGACAACCCUUGGUAUCAAUACAGGCUGAAGGAUGGAUGGAUUGAGAGCAGCCCUGUUGAGAAGG